GGAAGUGUGCCCGAAUGCUAAAGGGCCACUUUGAUAGAGUGGAAAACAGGGGUUCAAGUCCCCUCACUUCCU
rnacentral:tRNA from 2 species